UGGGCCAAUGAGAGGAGCAAUUUCCUGGUC
rnacentral:piRNA from 1 species